GAUGAACGCUGGCGGUCUGCUUAACACAUGCAAGUCGAACGGAGUAGAAAUACUUAGUGGCGGACGGGUGAGUAACGCGUGAGAAUCUGCCUUCAGGACGGAGACAACAGUUGGAAACGACUGCUAAGCCCCGAUGAACCGCAAGGGAAAAUAUUUAUAGCCUGAAGAUGAGCUCGCGUCCGAUUAGCUAGUUGGGGGGUAAGAGCCCACCAAGGCGACGAUCGGUAGCUGGUCUGAGAGGACGAUCAGCCACACUGGGACUGAGACACGGCCCAGACUCCUACGGGAGGCAGCAGUGGGGAAUUUUCCGCAAUGGGCGAAAGCCUGACGGAGCAAGACCGCGUGGGGGAAGAAGGCUCUUGGGUUGUAAACCCCUUUUCUCUGGGAAGAAAGUUGUGAAAGCAACCUGACGGUACCAGAGGAAUCAGCAUCGGCUAACUCCGUGCCAGCCGCCGCCGUAACAC
rnacentral:rRNA from 1 species